AAAUUGAAGAGUUUGAUCAUGGCUCAGAUUGAACGCUGGCGGCAGGCCUAACACAUGCAAGUCGAACGGUAACAGGAAGCAGCUUGCUGCUUUGCUGACGAGUGGCGGACGGGUGAGUAAUGUCUGGGAAACUGCCUGAUGGAGGGGGAUAACUACUGGAAACGGUGGCUAAUACCGCAUAACGUCGCAAGACCAAAGAGGGGGACCUUCGGGCCUCUUGCCAUCAGAUGUGCCCAGAUGGGAUUAGCUUGUUGGUGAGGUAACGGCUCACCAAGGCGACGAUCCCUAGCUGGUCUGAGAGGAUGACCAGCCACACUGGAACUGAGACACGGUCCAGACUCCUACGGGAGGCAGCAGUGGGGAAUAUUGCACAAUGGGCGCAAGCCUGAUGCAGCCAUGCCGCGUGUAUGAAGAAGGCCUUCGGGUUGUAAAGUACUUUCAGCGGGGAGGAAGGUGUUGUGGUUAAUAACCGCAGCAAUUGACGUUACCCGCAGAAGAAGCACCGGCUAACUCCGUGCCAGCAGCCGCGGUAAUACGGAGGGUGCAAGCGUUAAUCGGAAUUACUGGGCGUAAAGCGCACGCAGGCGGUCUGUCAAGUCGGAUGUGAAAUCCCCGGGCUCAACCUGGGAACUGCAUUCGAAACUGGCAGGCUUGAGUCUUGUAGAGGGGGGUAGAAUUCCAGGUGUAGCGGUGAAAUGCGUAGAGAUCUGGAGGAAUACCGGUGGCGAAGGCGGCCCCCUGGACAAAGACUGACGCUCAGGUGCGAAAGCGUGGGGAGCAAACAGGAUUAGAUACCCUGGUAGUCCACGCCGUAAACGAUGUCUACUUGGAGGUUGUGCCCUUGAGGCGUGGCUUCCGGAGCUAACGCGUUAAGUAGACCGCCUGGGGAGUACGGCCGCAAGGUUAAAACUCAAAUGAAUUGACGGGGGCCCGCACAAGCGGUGGAGCAUGUGGUUUAAUUCGAUGCAACGCGAAGAACCUUACCUGGUCUUGACAUCCACAGAACUUUCCAGAGAUGGAUUGGUGCCUUCGGGAACUGUGAGACAGGUGCUGCAUGGCUGUCGUCAGCUCGUGUUGUGAAAUGUUGGGUUAAGUCCCGCAACGAGCGCAACCCUUAUCCUUUGUUGCCAGCGAUUAGGUCGGGAACUCAAAGGAGACUGCCAGUGAUAAACUGGAGGAAGGUGGGGAUGACGUCAAGUCAUCAUGGCCCUUACGACCAGGGCUACACACGUGCUACAAUGGCGCAUACAAAGAGAAGCGACCUCGCGAGAGCAAGCGGACCUCAUAAAGUGCGUCGUAGUCCGGAUUGGAGUCUGCAACUCGACUCCAUGAAGUCGGAAUCGCUAGUAAUCGUGGAUCAGAAUGCCACGGUGAAUACGUUCCCGGGCCUUGUACACACCGCCCGUCACACCAUGGGAGUGGGUUGCAAAAGAAGUAGGUAGCUUAACCUUCGGGAGGGCGCUUACCACUUUGUGAUUCAUGACUGGGGUGAAGUCGUAACAAGGUAACCGUAGGGGAACCUGCGGUUGGAUCACCUCCUUACCUGAAAGAA
rnacentral:rRNA from 5 species